rnacentral:lncRNA from 1 species
GUGCUACCUCGUGCUGUGUGGACCACAUUUUACUGGGUGCUACCACAUUUUACUGGGUGCUACCACAUUUUACUGGGUGCUAUCACAUUUUACUGGGUGCUACCACAUUUUACUGGGUGCUACCACAUUUUACUGGGUGCUACCACAUUUUACUGGGUGCUACCACAUUUUACUGGGUGCUACCACAUUUUACUGGGUGCUAUCACAUUUUACUGGGUGCUACCACAUUUUACUGGGUGCUAUCACAUUUUACUCGGUGCUACCACAUUUUACUGGGUGCUACCACCUUUUACUGGGUGCUAUCACAUUUUACUGGGUGCUAUCACAUUUUACUGGGUGCUAUCACAUUUUACUGGGUGCUACCGCAUUUUACUGGGUGCUAUCACAUUUUACUGGGUGCUACCACAUUUUACUGGGUGCUAUCACAUUUUACUGGGUGCUACCACAUUUUACUGGGUGCUAUCACAUUUUACUGGGUGCUACCACAUUUUACUGGGUGCUAUCACAUUUUACUGGGUGCUACCACAUUUUACUGGGUGCUACCACAUUUUACUGGGUGCUAUCACAUUUUACUGGGUGCUACCACAUUUUACUGGGUGCUACCACAUUUUACUGGGUGCUAUCACAUUUUACUGGGUGCUACCACAUUUUACUGGGUGCUACCACCUUUUACUGGGUGCUAUCACAUUUUACUGGGUGCUACCACAUUUUACUGGGUGCUACCACCUUUUACUGGGUGCUAUCACAUUUUACUGGGUGCUACCACAUUUUACUGGGUGCUACCACCUUUUACUGGGUGCUAUCACAUUUUACUGGGUGCUAUCACAUUUUACUGGGUGCUACCACAUUUUACUGGGUGCUACCGCAUUUUACUGGGUGCUAUCACAUUUUACUGGGUGCUAUCACAUUUUACUGGAUGCUAUCACAUUUUACUGGGUGCUAUCACAUUUUACUGGGUGCUAUCACAUUUUACUGGGUGCUAUCACAUUUUACUGGGUGCUACCACAUUUUACUGGGUGCUAUCACAUUUUACUGGGUGCUAUCACAUUUUACUGGGUGCUAUCACAUUUUACUGGGUGCUACCACAUUUUACUGGGUGCUAUCACAUUUUACUGGGUGCUACCGCAUUUUACUGGGUGCUAUCACAUUUUUUUCCCCCACACGGAGGCGCCAGGUUCUAACAAAGCAACAAAGUUACAGCUGAACCACUACUCGUUCAUGUGACUGAGAUGCCAAAAAUACACUUUACAAAGUUAUGGCAACAACAGACACAUUUGAGGGAGAGAAGAAAGACAUAUUUAUAAUGUUCCCCAUCAACGCGGGCUCUAGAAUUCAAUAGCAAUCUAGCCAACUAUUUAGGUUCAGUGAACAGGCAUUUGGAAAAUGUAUAGGCAGAUUAUCAGCAAUCAUACACAUUUCAAGAAAUGUAUAUU